rnacentral:rRNA from 1 species
CUACGGGUGGCUCCAGUAGGGAAUCUUCGGCAAUGGGCGAAAGCCUGACCGAGCAACGCCGCGUGCAGGAUGACACCCGUGAGGGCGUAAACUGCUUUUCUGAGGGAAGAACUUUGACGGUACUUCAGGAAUAAGCACCGGCUAACUCCGUGCCAGCAGCCGCGGUAAUACGGAGGGUGCAAGCGUUAUCCGGAAUCAUUGGGUGUAAAGGGUCCGCAGGCGGUAUAGUAAGUCGGAUGUUAAAUCUCUUGGCUCAACCAAGAGCUCGUGUCCGAAACUGCUAAACUAGAGGAUUGCAGGGGUGCAUGGAAUUCCGCAUGUAGGGGUUACAUCCGUUGAUAUGCGGAGGAACACCAAAAGCGAAGGCAAUGCACUGGGCAAUUCCUGACGCUCAGGGACGAAAGCGUGGGGAGCAAACAGGAUUAGAUACCCCCGUAGUC